UACGUAGGGCGCAAGCGUUGUCCGGAAUUAUUGGGCGUAAAGAGCUCGUAGGCGGUUUGUCGCGUCGACUGUGAAAACCCGAGGCUUAACCUCGGGCCUGCAGUCGAUACGGGCAGACUAGAGUUCGGUAGGGGAGACUGGAAUUCCUGGUGUAGCGGUGAAAUGCGCAGAUAUCAGGAGGAACACCGGUGGCGAAGGCGGGUCUCUGGGCCAAUACUGACGCUGAGGAGCGAAAGCGUGGGGAGCGAACAGG
rnacentral:rRNA from 1 species